rnacentral:rRNA from 1 species
AUGGAGGCGAGGCAGAGGGUAGCGGCAGCGCCGCCGAUCACCGCGACGACAGGCGGCAGUUUGAGGGGCGGGGAGGUCGGGGAUGGAUGGAUCCGGCAGCCCCUGUACGGAUUCGAGGCGGUGGGCGCUCGGGGUCGCCGGCUGGAGCGGAUCGACGGCGGACGCGGCCAUGGUUUCCCGGCGGAACUCCAGCGUGAGCAGAAAGGCGGCGCGGGCGGGCGACGACUUCCGGCUAGGGAGAGGAGGUCGCAGGACGGCACGCUCGGCUCCGGCGGCAAGGCAUGGCUGCGGGCUAGGAUGAUGAGACCGUGGGUCGUGAAUGUGGAUGGUUUUGAAUCGUUGACACAUGGUUUGCUUGAGACAAGCGAAGCUGCUGAGGUGAUUUGUACACCUAAACUGCUUCAGGUAUUUGCCCGAUUUGCAUGGCAAGAAUAG